GGGGGGGCCAGACAGCCAGCAGCUAGAAGCUCCAGAAGAGGUUGAAACAUCAGAGCGAAUAUCCAAGACAAAGAAAAAGCCAAGCAUCUGGAAGAAAAUUAGGAUGAGCAUUCUGCCUAGAGCUGGAACUCGAUGAAGCCACAGUUCCACUGAGGUUACGUUGGUAAUUAAAAGUGUCGCCCAAUAAUUCCUCCUCCUCUUUAAGUCAUCGAGCCACAUUUCCUCCUCAAAACAUUAUAGUCUCCUCAAGCCAGCAAGUAUCCUCUUUAUCAGGCAACAAACCAUCGAAGGUCAGUGACCCUCCUCCCAAGAACAGAGACUCUCAUCUGUAUCCUAGUUAAAUUCAUCUCUGCUUACCACCUCUACAGUCCUAGAAAAUAUCCCAAAAA